UACGGGGGGGGGGCAAGCGUUGUUCGGAAUUACUGGGCGUAAAGGGCGCGUAGGCGGUCAGAUAAGUCAGCUGUGAAAACCUCGGGCUUAACCCGAGGCCUGCAGUUGAAACUGUUUGGCUGGAGUGUGGGAGAGGAGAGUGGAAUUCCCGGUGUAGCGGUGAAAUGCGUAGAUAUCGUAAGGAAGACCAGUGGCGAAGGCGGGUCUCUGGACAGUUCCUGACGCUGAGGCACGAAGGUCAGGGGAGCAAACGGG
rnacentral:rRNA from 1 species